rnacentral:misc_RNA from 1 species
GAAAAGGGAAGACUUGGUAAGCGGUGUGCCUUCAAGUGUCGUGCAUGCAUUUUAUGCAUCUGUUGCUUUGCAUGCAUUCUCUCUCCUCUCUCUCUAACAGCCCCACAAAACUCAUAUAUUUAUAUACACAUACACUGUAAAGUGUAUAUAGAAUUAGAUAGAGAGAGGACAGAGGAGCGACCGCGCCUUCUAUAUUUGGUCUUCGCCCACAUAUUCACCAUCACCGUUGCGCAUCUUAGCUCUGUUGCUCUUCAAACCGCUUCUUCACCGUGUUUUGCCUUGCCUUUACUUCCACUUGGACCACUAUUACUCACUAAUUUCAGUGUUUUUUCGUAUUAGGGUACUGCAAUUCACAGAUUGUUUGUUUAUAUGGGUUUUGUUUUAAUGUUUGGGAUUAUUGAAUUUUUAAGACGACAUUGAUUUGAAUUUGAAUGCUGUAUGUGCGCAUGAAUGUGAGGGAGAUGAUGCGAAAUUUGUGCUUUUUUUUUUUUGAUCUGUUGUGGGUUUUGGUCAGAAGGGAUUUUUUUGGAUUCUGAUUUGGAGUUUUUGUUGUGUGGUUAUGGUUGGAAGGGUUGAUUUUUCGUUUUGGGAUUAAAUGGGGUCCAAGGUUUGCAUGAAUGCAUCGUGUGGAACUACUACGACCCGUGAAUGGAAGAGGGGCUGGCGUUUGCGAUCUGGUGGAUAUGCUUGUCUCUGCUAUACUUGCGGGUAUUUUGUGAAUUGGAUUUGGAUUGCUGUUAUGUGCUACAAUAUGGUAUUGUAUGUGUAAUUACACACGAAAAAAUUGUGAUAUUAUGGUUAAGAAACCACCCAUAAUUAGAUAUCAAUAGCCAUAAUGAUCAUCCAUAGUGCAACACCAAAAGCAGCUUCUGUCUAUUUUAUUGUUUAAAAGGAAUAUUUUACGUUUUAAUUUCUGUCCCUGAAAGUUUUGUAAAUUUCUGAAGGAAACCAAAUUGGAUUUGACCAUGAUAUUUAUGAGCACAUAAAUAACAAUGAACUGCAAAUUAUUGGCUGCUUUGUAAUUUGUCCGAUCCAUAUGUUUUUGCAUUCAUCACAUUCAGAACUCAGAUAAUGUUUUGUUCGUGUGAUUAGGACCGAAAAAUUACUUGUUUACUGGGAAAAGGAUGGCGUGCAGAAAGGUGUUUAGUAGUAUCCAUAAGUUUCCCAUAACUAAGUAUUUAAAAUUUUCUGUUUGUCUUUGUCUAUAUCUUCUUGACUCCUUAUUGCUAGUUUCUUUUUAUGAAUUCUACGGGCUGCUUUAAGCUUUAUUCUCAACUGCAAAGAGAUUUUCUUAUGCAUUUUCUAAUUAUGGGUUAAUGUUCAAUUCGUUGUUUUUCAUUCUUUUUAACUUUUACAUUAGUGUUAAAUUCCGUGCAUGUAUUGGGAGAUGCUUUACCUUUUGUUUAACAAGUAUUCUGUUUAUGAUCCAUUAUUUUGUUUGAUUUAGAAUUUUCUUUUUCAUAUAUUAAUUUUCAACUUAACCUUGUUCAUUAUAUUUGAUGUGCAUUAUACAAUAGAUCUACAUAUGAUGAUUCAGUUUAUUGUGAUACAUUCCACUUGGAAGAAUCUGGUUGGAGGGAAUGCAAAAUAUGUAGCAAGCGUCUCCACUGUGGAUGCAUAGCUUCUACUUAUUUACUUGAGAUUUUGGACUUCGGGGGUGUUGGGUGUACUAGCUGUGCAAAGAUUUCUCAACUUCACUCAGUAAGAUCGAUCCAUAGUAAUGAGAUUUCCAAUGCUUUUGGCUCAGUAACAACAAACAAUGCUGUUGGUCUGGAAUCCACUCCUCCAGAAAAUCGAGUGGCUGGUAGUGCCCUCGAUGAGGGAAAACUUGCUCAGCUGUGCAGAAUCAUGGAGGCUAAUAAACCCACACUAUUGUGUCAGUCUGAAGGAGCUGACACAAAUGCAAGUCCUGGGCAUUUCAGACAAGAGGAGGUCAUUCAUCCAAUUGGGGAAGCUGGCACAGGCUUCUCAAAUGAAUCUCAGUUAUCAGUUGGAAUAUCUAGGUUUGCCAAGCCAGACAGUAUUAGACCAAUAUUAGAGAUGAGGGACAUGAAUGGAUCACUUGUUCCAUCUUUGACUAUGACAUUGGGAGCUCCAUCAGGAACUACAAGCUUUGGUCCAUAUCCUUGUGGAGCUGUUGAAGGAAGAGGAAAAAGCAUAACACCUCCCUUUCAGCAAGGGCAAAGAUCUCGCCCAAUAUUGCCCAAGCUCCCAAAGCCUGGCUCUGCUGGGAGUUCAGAGACCAAUAAUGCUGUGGUUCCUGAGUUGCGGAUUGCAAGAACACCUGCUGAGGGGCGGGGGAAGAACCAGUUACUUCCCCGUUACUGGCCAAGGAUCACUGAUCUAGAGCUGCAGCAAUUGUCUGGAGAGUAUCCUCUAAUUCUAAGUUAAAUUUGUUAGACAUACCUGUUUCUUUGAAAUGUAUGUAUGCUCUUGUUUAUCAUUUAAUCCUUAUAAUAGCGUUAACCUUAAGUACAAUAUCUACUAGUUUGAAUUCCAAUAUUGUGCCAUUGUUUGAGAAGGUUCUCAGUGCCAGUGAUGCUGGUCGAAUUGGUCGACUAGUUCUCCCAAAAGCAUGUGCAGAAGUAAGUGUUAAAUUGUGGAGGCUGUCUCUUUUUUUUCCCCCUCCUAGCGUUUCUUUCCCUUUUCCUUUUCUUUUGUAUUUGUAAACUUUAAUCCGGUGCAGGCAUAUUUUCCUCCUAUUUCUCAAUCUGAAGGCGUUCCUUUAAGGAUUCAAGAUUUUAAGGGGAGAGAAUGGACAUUUCAGUUCAGAUUUUGGCCCAAUAACAACAGUAGGAUGUAUGUCUUGGAGGGUGUAACCCCAUGUAUACAGUCUAUGCAAUUACAAGCAGGCGAUACAAUAACAUUCAGCCAGAAGGAUCCUGGAGGCAAGCUUGUCAUAGGAUUUCGCAAGGCGAGAAACAACUCAGAUAUGCAGGAAGCCCAAACAACUGCACUUCCUAUUGGUACUGCUUCAACAGAAACUUCUUUUUCUGCUGUCGGGGAUAUUGGCUGGAACAAGGGUGGGAGUCAUGGUGGCACAAUAAAUGGGGAUGCACAAUCCCUAGCAAUGGCUGAGAAGAAGAGGACUCGGAAUAUUGGACCUAAGAGUAAGAGACUACUCAUGCAUAGAGAAGAUGCUUUGGAGUUGCGGCUUACAUGGGAGGAAGCACAGGACUUGCUUCGUCCACCCCCAAAUGUCAAGCCAAGCAUUGUCACAAUUGAGGACCAUGAAUUGGAAGAAUAUGAUGAGCCUCCAGUUUUUGGCAAGAGAACCAUAUUCACUGAUCGAUCGUCUUGGGGACAGGAACAAUGGGCUCAAUGUGAUGAUUGCUCUAAAUGGCGAAAGUUGCCAGAGGAUGCUCUUCUUCCUCCAAAGUGGACCUGUUCAGAUAACGUUUGGGAUUCAAGCAGGUGUUCAUGUUCUGCACCAGAGGAGAUGAGUCCAAAGGAUUUGGAUAAUCUUCUUAGAGUGAGCAAAGAUUUCAAGAAGCGAAGGAUCCUAGAGAGACAUAAGCCAUCCCCUGACCGUGAGCUUUCUGGCUUAGAUGCUUUGGCUAGUGCAGCAGUUUUAGGAGACAAUAUAGGCGACUCAGAUGAGCCGUUGGUUGGAGCCACAACAAAGCAUCCCCGGCAUCGCCCUGGCUGUACUUGCAUUGUUUGUAUUCAGCCACCUAGUGGCAAGGGCAAGCACAAACCCACAUGUACAUGCAAUGUGUGCAUGACAGUAAAGCGCCGCUUUAAAACCCUCAUGCUGCGUAAGAAAAAACGUCAAUCAGAGCGUGAAGCUGAAAUUUCCCAGGGCAAUAAUGACCGCAAGGAUGAAUCUGAAAUGAUUAGCACAUUGAGUGAUGCACUGUUGACUGUAAAUAAUUCAGAGAAUGAAGUUGGUCCAAACAAAAAGCAAACCGAGGUUGCUGAAACCAGUGCUGGACAAAUAGACCUAAAUUGUCAUCCUAACCGCGAGGAAAUGCAGGUGGAUGUACCAGGAUUGAGCAUGAUGAACAUUGAUGAACCAUUUGACAAUUAUAUUAAGCAAAAUGGACUUGCAAACUUGAUGUGUGAGAGACAGUCUAGUUUUGCUUCUUGUUUACAUUCACAAACCAAUGGGGAAAAUUUGAGAAGGCUGUCUGAUGAAGCAUAUCCAGAAGAUUCUAUGGAUUCGAAUCCGAGAGGUGAUUGAGAAUACUGUGAAUGCAAUUUAGAGGGAAACAAUAUUUGUGAAUGAUUUCCAUUCAUAGUUUUCGAUGUGUUUUUUUUUUUUUUUUCUUCUCCAAAGGGGUGGUGCCAUACAUCUGAUCUCAUUAGUUAGGGAAUGUAAUUUUGUUAUGUUGUAUUCUAGUUAUUAAAUUCUCUCUCUGCCGAGUCACAUAUAUCAUCUGUUUAUAACAUAUGAUUAGAUAUUCAAAAUGGAAACAUAUUUAUUUAAUUGGCCACACAGAAAUUGGAAAAUAUUAAGAGUAGAA